rnacentral:lncRNA from 1 species
UGAUNAUUUCCAAUAUUCUUAGCUUUAUAUUCUCCAGCUCCAUCCAUUUACCUGCAAAUGCCAUGAAUUUAUUCCAUUUAAUUAUGAGUAAUAUUCCAUUGUGUAUCCAUACCACAUUUUCUUUAUCCAUCCAUCUACUGAAGGGCAUCUAGGUUGCUUCCACAGUGUAGCUAUUGUGAAUUGUGAGACUAUAAAAAUUGAUGUGGCUGUGUCCCUGUAGUAUGUUGUUUUUAAGUCCUUUGGGAUUUUAGGAUUGGGAUAGCUGGGGCAAAUUGUGGUUCCAUUCCAAGUUUUCCAAGGAUUCUCCAUUUUGCUUUCCUUAUUGGCUGCACCAGUUUGCAGUCCCACCAGCAAUGUAUGAGUGUGCCUUUGCCCCCCCCCCCACAUCCUCAUCAACACUUAUUGUUGUUUGUAUUCUUAACAACUGCCAUUUGACUGGAAUGAGAUGAAAUCUUAGAGUAGUUUUGAUUUGCAUUUUUUUAAUUACUAGAGAUGUUGAACAUUUUUUUGCAUAUUUGUUGAUUGAUUGUAUAUCUUCUGAGAAGUAUCUGUUCAGGUCCUUAGACUAUUUAUUGAUUGGGUUAUUUGUUUUUUUGGUGUUAAGAUUUUUGAGCUCUUUAUAUAUUCAAGAGAUUAGUGCUCUAUCUGACGUGCCUGUGGUAAGAAUUAGUUCCCAAUUAGUAGGCUCUCUAUUUACCUCACUGAUUUGUUUCUUGUGCUGAGAAGAAACUUUUUAGUUUGAAUCCAUCUCAUUUAAUGAUUCUUGAUAUUAAUUCUUUUGCUAUAGGAGUCUUAUUAAGGAAGUGGGGACCUAAUCCGACAUGAUGGCGAUUUGGACCUACAUUUUCUUCUAAUAGACUGUCUCUGGUUUAAUUUCUAGGUCCUUGAUCCACUUUGAGUUGAGUUUUGUGCACAGUGAGAGAUAGGGGUUUAAUUUCAUUUUGUUACAUAUGGAUCUUCAAUUUCCUCAGCACCAUUUGUUGAAGAGGCUAUCUUUUCUUUCUUCAUUGAUUGAUGUUCUUUCUUCCAAGUGAUCUAGUCUGUUGUUAUGCUUUGUAUUGAGUUUUUUAUUUGGUUUAUUGUGUCCUUUAUUUCAAGGAUUUCUGAUUAUUUUUUUUUCAGUCUCCAUCUCUCUCUUGAAGUAAUCUUUUUCUACCUGUAUUUGCUCUCUUGUCUCUUUGUUGGAGUGAUCAGUUUUUGCCUGUAUUUGCUUAUUUAGGUAAUUCUUUAAUUCACAGAUCAUUUUAAUUAUGAACCUUCUGAAUUCCUUCUCUGACAUUUCAUCAACUUCACUGUCCAUGGGUUCUGUAAUUACAGUGUCCUGGUUUGUUUGGGGCACUUUCCUCCCUUGUCUUUUCAUGUUGUCUAUGUGUCUUCCUUUCUUACAGUGUGGAUCUGAGCUAUUGAAUUUUCUACCCUAUAUUCUUCUAGUACCCAGGCAGAUUGUCUGUACCUCACCUUGAUGUCGGGCUUCCAGACCCUGCUGGUGUCCCUCAAUAUAUGCUACUGCACUAAAGUUGGUGGCAGCAAUAGCCAAGGUAACUUGAGAUAAUAGUGGAGGUGCCCCAAGAUGGAUGAAGCAUCUUACAGAGAUGGGGCUGAAAGGGUGGGCCUUGCACUGUCUUUGGGAUGCCUGCUCUGAGAUGCAGCUGCUUCUAGGCCUUGUCUGUUGUCAAAAGGUAGGGGUUACUGUGUGGGGAAGGCUAUGGGGAUGUCUGCAGUGUCCUAAGAUGGACUUGGGCUCCCAGCUGGGGGUGGCAAACUCGAACCUACACUGGGCCUGGGUUCUUUACAGGUAGGUGUGGGCAGAUCUGGGCCAGGCCUGAGCUCCCGCUGUGGUCUGCUGGUCAGAAGAGGCAGUCCUGUGCUGGAGCCUGAGCUCUGGCGGUGUCUGUCGGUGGUGGGAUGAACCUGGGCCCACCCACUAGUAACUAAUAUUAAUUUUAAAAAUUUAUCUUGUUUUCUGUGAACAAUACUUCUUGCCUUCUAUUUUUGCCUAGUUUUAUUUCCUUCUCUGAUUUGCUCUAUGUGUAAUAGAGUGAGUGUGUCAGUUCCCAUGUGAUCGUGUCCUAAGUUUUCUAGUUGAAUUUUCCAUCUUUUAAUGGAUCUUUUUUUUUUUGGUCCAUAACACUUGCUCAUCUGCCUCUGUCACUACUGCAUACAGCAUCCGUCAGGGUCUUACUGUGACAGACAAGAACAUCAACUUACACUACUUCCGUUCUCUUAUUUUUAUGUUUUAUUUCUUCUGUUUUAAUGGAUUUAUCUAAUUCGCUUACACUGUUCUUUUUUUAAUUUAUUCAGUAUAAGAAGUAGUUAUUAAAUUGCCUUUUCAAAAUAUAAGAAAAUUCUACAUGUUCUUCAAUUAAUUUUCUAUCACUAUCUCAGGUUUUACUUUUUAUAAUUUUAAAUACCCACUAUAUAUAGCCUUUAUCUUUUGUGGCCAUAGAGCCUAUGGUUGCUGAGAUUUAUCCCCUGUUAUUAGAGUGGAGCUGAUACUCAUAGCCCUUAGACUUUGACUCUGUCAUCUCCUAUUGGAUGAAUCCUUAGGGUUUGGUAAUUUUUCUUUUUUUUUAAAUCCUGUCACCUGUUUUUAUUGUGUCACCUGAUUAUACUUUCCUUCUUUACUUUGUUCUUCUAUCUGAGUGUUUCUCAUCCAGGGGAAACUUUAACCCCACCUUCCACCAUGGGGUCAUUGGGCAUCUGGGGAAAUGUUUAGCUGCCAUGUCUGGGGAGGGAAAACAGCAAGCGCUGGCAUCUUGUAUGGAUGGAGAGGCACUGGGCAGCUAGCCCCUCCCAGAAAGAUCUGCUGUCCCACAAUACCAACAUCAACGGGUGUUGGGAAGUCUUUAUUCAUUUAUCCCAGAAUUAAAUACAUCUGUACAAAAAUAUAAAGCUAGCUUGAUUUUUAUCUCUUUGCAAGUCACUUGAUGUUUUGCUAUCUAUGUAAAGAAUUCAUUUUCCAGCCAUGAAAUCCAUUCUUGCAUAGUUACUGUUUCACUGCUAAAUGUUCUGACUCAACUUUUAUUUAAAUUUCUCUUUUGGCUGUCUGUGUUAGCCAUACUUUUAAGGAGAGAAGUUUUGAGGUCUCAAAACAACUGGAAGGCCAGGUGUUCAGUAAGGCCUCUGCACUUUGGAUGGCACCCUGCCAUUUCUGGGUCUCCAGUCAGCUGACACCUGAGCCUGCUUGGGCAUCGCUUCCCUGGGUGUGGUUUGACAGUUGCCACAAGCACCUGGGUGAACUUUGAGAUGAUUCUGGUUUUGCUUUCUCUCUGGCAUCACUCUUCCAUGCUUGGUGCUUAAGGCCUAAAAGUGGUUCCUUCUUAUGUUUUUUUGUUUUCCGUGAAUACUGGAUAAAUUUGAUAUCUGUUUCUCCAUUGUGGCUGGAACUGAAAGGCAGGUUUUUGCACUUAAAAUUUGUACUCCACAUAUAAAGGUGUUCUCUUUUAUUAAAACAUUUUUAUAAUUUUUAUUUUAAUAUUUCUCUUUAACUGUUAUGGAUUGCAUUUUUAAUAUGACAAGAAAUAUCCUAAUUUUAAUUUCAAUCUUCCAUCUAUUGAAUUAAAUUUUCUAACACCAUCUCUGAAUCAAUUCUAGGUAUGCCAGGAGGUGUUAGCACAUCCUAAAGAACUUACAUUAAAUGCAGUUUUUCUGAUAUGAGGUGAUAAAUUCAGAAAUCAGUCACAUAAGUUUAGCAUAAAAAAUCUCGUUUGAGUAUUUGAAUUAAAUUUAUGAUAAAUACAUACUUUAUAGGAUC